AAUCAACGCUGGCGGCGUGCCUAACACAUGCAAGUCGAACGAGAAAGGGGCUUCGGCCCUGAGUAGAGUGGCGGACGGGUGAGUAACACGUGGGUGAUCUACCCUCCAGUGGGGGAUAACACAUCGAAAGGUGUGCUAAUACCGCAUGGAGUUCCGGUUGUCGCGAUCGGAAUGAAAGCAGCAAUGUGCUGGAGGAGGAGCCCGCGCCGGAUUAGCUAGUUGGUGGGGUAAUGGCCUACCAAGGCAACGAUCCGUAGCCGGCCUGAGAGGGUGACCGGCCACACUGGAACUGAGACACGGUCCAGACUCCUACGGGAGGCAGCAGUGGGGAAUUUUGCGCAAUGGGGGAAACCCUGACGCAGCAACGCCGCGUGGACGAUGAAGGCCUUUGGGUCGUAAAGUCCUGUCAGCAGGGAAAAACACAAUGAUGGUACCUGCAGAGGAAGCUCCGGCUAACUUCGUGCCAGCCGCCGCCGUAA
rnacentral:rRNA from 1 species